rnacentral:rRNA from 1 species
GACGAACGCUGGCGGCGUGCUUAACACAUGCAAGUCGAACGGAAAGGCCCUGCUUUUGUGGGGUGCUCGAUUGGCGAACGGGUGAGUAACACGCGAGUAACCUGCCCUUGACUUUGGGAUAACUUCUGGAAACUGGGGCUAAUACCGGAUAGGAGCUCCUGCUGCAUGGUGUGGGUUGGAAAGUUUCGGCGGUUGGGGAUGGACUCGCGGCUUAUCAGCUUGUUGGUGGGGUAGUGGCUUACCAAGGCUUUGACGGGUAGCCGGCCUGAGAGGGUGACCGGCCACAUUGGGACUGAGAUACGGCCCAGACUCCUACGGGAGGCAGCAGUGGGGAAUAUUGCACAAUGGGCGGAAGCCUGAUGCAGCAACGCCGCGUGCGGGAUGACGGCCUUCGGGUUGUAAACCGCUUUCGCCUGUGACGAAGCGUGAGUGACGGUAAUGGGUAAAGAAGCACCGGCUAACUACGUG